GAAACCGGAGCUAAUACCGGAUAGUUCCUUGAACCGCAUGGUUCAAGGAUGAAAGACGGUUUCGGCUGUCACUUACAGAUGGACCCGCGGCGCAUUAGCUAGUUGGUGAGGUAACGGCUCACCAAGGCGACGAUGCGUAGCCGACCUGAGAGGGUGAUCGGCCACACUGGGACUGAGACACGGCCCAGACUCCUACGGGAGGCAGCAGUAGGGAAUCUUCCGCAAUGGACGAAAGUCUGACGGAGCAACGCCGCGUGAGUGAUGAAGGUUUUCGGAUCGUAAAGCUCUGUUGUUAGGGAAGAACAAGUGCAAGAGUAACUGCUUGCACCUUGACGGUACCUAACCAGAAAGCCACGGCUAACUACGUGCCAGCAGCCGCGGUAAUACGUAGGUGGCAAGCGUUGUCCGGAAUUAUUGGGCGUAAAGGGCUCGCAGGCGGUUUCUUAAGUCUGAUGUGAAAGCCCCCGGCUCAACCGGGGAGGGUCAUUGGAAACUGG
rnacentral:rRNA from 1 species